GACGAACGCUGGCGGCGUGCUUAACACAUGCAAGUCGAACGGAAAGGCCCCUUUGGGGGUACUCGAGUGGCGAACGGGUGAGUAACACGUGAGUAACCUGCCCUUGACUUCGGGAUAACUUCAGGAAACUGGGGCUAAUACCGGAUUGGAAUCCUUGCUGCAUGGUGGGGGUUGGAAAGCUUCGGCGGUUUUGGAUGGACUCGCGGCUUAUCAGCUUGUUGGUGGGGUAGUGGCUUACCAAGGCUUUGACGGGUAGCCGGCCUGAGAGGGCGACCGGCCACAUUGGGACUGAGAUACGGCCCAGACUCCUACGGGAGGCAGCAGUGGGGAAUAUUGCACAAUGGGCGGAAGCCUGAUGCAGCAACGCCGCGUGCGGGAUGACGGCCUUCGGGUUGUAAACCGCUUUCAGCAGGGGCGAAGCUUGUGGUGACGGUACCUGCAGAAGAAGCACCGGCUAACUACGUG
rnacentral:rRNA from 1 species